GUCCGCGUAACUCAGUGGUAGAGUGUGAGAUUGCAACUACUUGUGCAUUAUCUUGAAGCCGCGUGUUCGAACCACGCCGCGGACU